UUGUAGUAUGAUAGGAGAGACGUUUAACACUCCCCUAGACAAGGAUGUAUAAGGUAAGGGGCACUGUCGCCUUUCGGCGGCACUUACCAGAUUU
rnacentral:ncRNA from 1 species